ACUCACUGUGCGCUGAACCUCCCCCUCAACCCAGCAGGUAUGGGAGGACCGAGGUAGACAGAAAAACGUGAUGUAGAUUAAAGUUGGUAUCCUUGUGGAACAGCAACAUGAGGGCACUUCAGCCCAAAGUGAAGACGAAAACUGGGGAAACUACCACCAAGCGAGUGUCAAGGCCAUGGGGGACCCCCUGUCAGACUGCAGCCCUCUGAUCAGUGCAGCGGCCUCGGGAAAGCUUCGACUGGUUCACCUGCUGGUUGAAGGCGGUGUUCAGGUCAACAAGCGCAACCACAGAGGAGAGACGGCACUGCUGGCUGCGUGUAAGGCCCUGGCUGAGGAGCCUGCUGGGCCUGAUACAGUGAAACUCCUCACAUACCUGCUCCAG